rfam:Felis catus isolate Cinnamon breed Abyssinian chromosome B3, whole genome shotgun sequence.
GCCUGGGUGGCUCAGUCGGUUAAGCAUCUGACUUCAGCUCAGGUCAUGAUCUCACAGUCUGUGAGUUCGAGCCCCGCGUCGGGCU